GGCCUGCAAUCCAGGCAUGUGCCAUGACUGGGAAUUGAACCAGCGACCCUUUGGUUCAUGGACCCACGCUCAAUCCACUGAGCUACACCAGCCAGGGCUAUUAUUGUUUUUAUAUCAUAUCUAUCUGAUUUGGCACAUUUCUGGAAAAAACUUUUGAAUUAUUUUUCUUGAUAUUAAACCAGAUUUUUUUGAUGCAGUUUAAGAGUCAUAUCUUCUAGAAAUGGAAGAAAAUGUUUAUUUUCUUAAUUGAACCAAGAGGCAGGCAGGCUUGUUCAGAUCUCAACUCGAAUUUGAAGCCAUGGAAGAUCAGAUAAGACACUUCACUACAUUUUAGCUUCAGUUGCUACAUCUGAACAGCGAGGAUCAUAGUAAUUCUUUGCUGGGUUCUUGUUGGGAUUAAAUGAAUUUAAGAAAAAUCACUAAAAAAAUGGACAUGCACACACACACACCCAUAAAUACAAAUCAGGUGCCCACCAUGUAAAGAGACCAGCCUAUAAGCCAAACGUGUACGACUAGAUUAAUACCUUACUAAUCUCCUUAUUUUCCAUCUCCUCUUGUAUACUGCUUUAUAAACGUGUUUCUUACAUUUUUUAUGGUUUUUAUACCUUUUGAAAAUGACAAAGCAUCUCAAUUUUCUAGUUAAAAAACAGCCUAAUAUUUAAUCUUGAUUCAUUGGACCAUUUAAACUUUGUUGCUGAUUUUCUGAGCCCUUUUCAUUUUCUGUGUGACCUUUUAAAACAUUCAGUUAUCAAAAGUAUACUUAUUAUUGAGUUUUCUGUUGAGUAUUGGACCAUUUUGGGGGGGGACAAAAAGAAAUUACUUUCCGUCUUGGAAGUAACGUACUUUUGUGACUUGUCCUAACAUAGUGCAUGUGUUUUAAAUGAUAUAUCUGCUGACUCAUUUUCAGAUUGUUGAUCACCGUGACUCUUCUGUGUUAUUUGCCAGUCUUUUCCUGUAUUUUAUCAUUAUUGUCGUGAUUACAUUGUUUAAUUCCUUUAACUCUUCACUAUUGAUUUUUAUCUUUUUUAAAUGAAAUAUUUAUCUAAAGAUUACUUUGAAUUCAGUUCUUACUGUGCGUGGGGUUGGCAGCCCCCCGGGGGUGUGGUCCCAAUGUGCACAUUCCCAGUUCUAUUUUGGGGACGUUGAUAAAAGUAUUAAAUAAGAUCGGUCCUUAUGAACUUGUUUUAUUAAAUAUAUCCUGUAAAUAAAUAUUCUAAAAGUUUUAGAGAGUCAAAAUUUCCAGUAUUCUGUCCUUUGCAUUGACAUUAACUUUGAAUAUUCUACCUGUACUUACUCAUUCAAACUCUCUGCUUAUGCAUUUGCCGUUAGAGUUCCUUGUAAUCACUUUUAUGAGCAAUAGUUUAUUAGGAAAAUAAGCAUAUAAAGUUUGCUGUAUCGCUUUUGACUUGGAGAAAGGCACCAUGAAGUGUAUCAGUCAGAAUUUCCCUUCAAUCAUUGCUUUUAAAGGAAAUAAAACUAAAGAGAUAUAAUGCAGGAAAGUUGAUUGUUAGAUUAUAUAUUAAUUCACUGAGUGUCUGUUAAGACUGUGUGUGUAUACAAAAGCAAACUAGACAUACUUUGGAGUUAUACAAAAGAUGGUGACAGCUUCUGCUCUUGCAAACCCUGUAGCAUAAUCAAAGACCCAAAAUAUGUACAUAAUUGAGGAGAUAAAAGAGAAAAUGGUAAGAGCCAUGUAGAAUAAUGGCAGUUCGGGUCAGAAAGGGUAAAGAGGGGUACCAGAUUGAUAUACUAGAAUUGUUUUUUCAGUUUUUAGGCAAGAAGACUAGAGGAGAGUUUUUUUUUUUUUUUUUUUUUGCUAGAGCAAGAUGUUUCUCUUUUAUAGUAGGCAAUUGCUUUUUAUUUUCAUUUUGUAUUUUAUUCUAUUAAAUCUAGCCCUUGUUUAGGUCAGGGACAUGCUUGAUUAUUUUCUUACCUUAAAUUCAACUUAAAUGUUAGAGGGUUUUUGUUUUUAGCUUGGUGAGUUCAUUAUUUGUCUCCAUUUAACUGUCUUUGGGCCUCAACUUCAAUGGACACAAUGAAGGAACUAGUAUGAAUGAUUUCUAAGGCUCCUUUAGCUCAUAAAUUCUGCAUAAAGAAGAUAUUAUUUUUCUUUUGAUUUCAUAUGCAAAUAUUUCUUUUCAGCUUGGUUGAUUAAAGAGAAUACAGGAAUCCUUUCUGAUUAAAAAAUUUUUUUUGAUUGCUGUUUCUCCCUUUGGUGCAGACUAGGUCAUGACUCACUCCACCUGAGUUUUCUGUGAUGGUUUAAGCUUUUGCUGUAUUGAAUUUAUUUAUGAUACUCUUAGGUGGUAAAUAUAGAAGUCCUGAAUUUGCUAGUCAUUGCUGGUAAUAAUAGCCUUUUCAAAAAAAGGUAGAAAGGAGCAAAAGCACUCUCCUACCGUUUUUUUUUUCCCUUUAUUACUUCAUUACUAAAGGGCCCCAAG